GACGAACGCUGGCGGCGUGCUUAACACAUGCAAGUCGAACGGAAAGGCCCUGCUUUUUUGGGGUGCUCGAGUUGCGAACGGGUGAGUAACACGUGAGUAACCUGCCCUUGACUUUGGGAUAACUUCAGGAAACUGGGGCUAAUACCGGAUAGGAGCUCCUGCUGCAUGGUGGGGGUUGGAAAGUUUCGGCGGUUGGGGAUGGACUCGCGGCUUAUCAGCUUGUUGGUGGGGUAGUGGCUUACCAAGGCUUUGACGGGUAGCCGGCCUGAGAGGGUGACCGGCCACAUUGGGACUGAGAUACGGCCCAGACUCCUACGGGAGGCAGCAGUGGGGAAUAUUGCACAAUGGGCGGAAGCCUGAUGCAGCAACGCCGCGUGCGGGAUGACGGCCUUCGGGUUGUAAACCGCUUUCGCCUGUGACGAAGCGUGAGUGACGGUAAUGGGUAAAGAAGCACCGGCUAACUACGUG
rnacentral:rRNA from 1 species